GAACAGGAUUAGAUACCCUGGUAGUCCAUGCCGUAAACGAUGAUUACUAAGUGUUGGAGGGUUUCCGCCCUUCAGUGCUGCAGCUAACGCAUUAAGUAAUCCGCCUGGGGAGUACGACCGCAAGGUUGAAACUCAAAAGAAUUGACGGGGGCCCGCACAAGCGGUGGAGCAUGUGGUUUAAUUCGAAGCUACGCGAAGAACCUUACCAGGUCUUGACAUCUUCUGACAGUCUAAGAGAUUAGAGGUUCCCUUCGGGGACAGAAUGACAGGUGGUGCAUGGUUGUCGUCAGCUCGUGUCGUGAGAUGUUGGGUUAAGUCCCGCAACGAGCGCAACCCUUAUUACUAGUUGCCAGCAUUAAGUUGGGCACUCUAGUGAGACUGCCGGUGACAAACCGGAGGAAGGUGGGGACGACGUCAAAUCAUCAUGCCCCUUAUGACCUGGGCUACACACGUGCUACAAUGGAUGGUACAACGAGUCGCGAAACCGCGAGGUUAAGCUAAUCUCUUAAAACCAUUCUCAGUUCGGACUGUAGGCUGCAACUCGCCUACACGAAGUCGGAAUCGCUAGUAAUCGCGGAUCAGCAUGCCGCGGUGAAUACGUUCCCGGGCCUUGUACACACCGCCCGUCACACCAUGAGAGUUUGUAACACCCAAAGCCGGUGGGGUA
rnacentral:rRNA from 1 species